UACAGUUUCAUAUUAGGAUUCAGAAACAACCUCUUUCUCUCACACUCACUCACACAGACAUGAGUUUUAUGAAUCACAUAAGAACCGUUGCCAAAGAAGCAUUAGACCGUACAUCAAUAAUCGCGAAAUUUCUAUGUUGUCUUCACUUCACAAGCAGCUACCUUUGUUCUCCAACACACGCGUAUGGACCUAGUAUGCUCCCUACCCUAAAUAUUGCUGGCGAUGUUGUUCUUGUUGAGCAUCUUUCUCCAAGGAUUGGGAAAGUUGGUUAUGGUGAUUUGGUUCUUGUUAGGUCACCUUUGAACCCUAAUCGGAAUUUGACAAAACGUGUUGUUGCUAUGGAAGGGGAUACUGUUACUUAUUUUGAUCCUUUGAAUUCCGAUUCUUCUCGAAAUGCUGUGGUGCCGAAGGGGCAUGUUUGGAUUCAAGGAGAUAACAUCUACGCUUCUCGUGAUUCACGUCAUUUUGGUCCCGUUCCAUAUGGUCUUAUAAAAGGAAAAGUGUUUUUCCGGGUAACUGUCAUUCACCAUACUAUAUUCUUCUAUUUUUAUAGUUUGGUUUUGGUUCAUUCGGUUUCUCUCCAUUAUUCUAAUUCUUUAGGGGUUUAUAGUUCAGUUUAUUUCUCGUUUUCUUUCAUGUGGUUCAAUAUUAUUUUUCCUGAAUAAUUUAGAGUGAGCUAGGGUUCUAAUAAUAUUGUUCCGUUAAUACAUGACUGCUUCUAUGUUUUUUUUCCGGACUUGUGCAUAUACUUGCAAACAUCUACUGAUUCUAUGUUUGUAAAGUUUUAAAUCUAGUGGAUAAAGCAAUUCUAGAUGUUUGUUGCUGAUCUAGAUGUCAUAUACUCAAUAAUUUCAUCUAUCAUUGUAGUUAGGAAAUCAUUUUCUGAUUCGAACUAGGUCCUUCUGAUCAGUUACUUACAUGAUAUGCUUUGUAUUACUAUAAUUUUACUUUAUACCGAAAAAACUACAUAUUUGUUGCACACUUUUUUGGCAUGCGAAAUUUUUUCUAUUUAAUUGAAUCUAGUGUUAAAGAUAUUUCAAAUACUUUUUUUCUAUCAGGUUUGGCCACCCAGUAGUUUUGGACUGCUAGAUAAUUGAAGAUAUUUUAAAGAAGUGCUCCUUAAAAUGCAUCUAAGUAUACUUGGAUGGAGUAAAAGUGAUUUCCAUGAAUGUAGCUUUUUGCAAGGGGAACACCUGAAGGGGCAUGCUUCCUUUCGUGCCGACAAAGGAUACAUCUUUUGGGGUCUGUUUAAGUAUUGUGUGUGUUCCUCUUCAAACUUUGUAAAAGAACAGAGUGUCACUUAUAUGUUACCAAAUUGAUUAGGAACCAUGCAUUUUACCCAUUUAUUAUUAUUUUUUUUGAAUUUUUUAUGCAGGGUAGGUUUUCUUUGUUUUUAGUUGUCAUAUUUUGAAUUUAUUAUACCCUAAAAAUUGUAGACAUAGAUUCAAAGAAGUACUUCAUCUAUCUUGCCUCAUUUAUCA